rnacentral:rRNA from 1 species
CAGUCGCCGCGGGAACACAGAGGGUGCGAGCGUUAAUCGGAUUUACUGGGCGUAAAGCGUGCGUAGGCGGCUUCUUAAGUCGGAUGUGAAAUCCCUGAGCUUAACUUAGGAAUUGCAUUCGAUACUGGGAAGCUAGAGUAUGGGAGAGGAUGGUAGAAUUCCAGGUGUAGCGGUGAAAUGCGUAGAGAUCUGGAGGAAUACCGAUGGCUGCCUUCGCCAUCUGGCCUAAUACUGACGCUGAGGUACGAAAGCAUGGGGAGCAAACAGGAUUAGAUACCCCCGUAGUCCCUGUCUCUUAUAC